rnacentral:rRNA from 1 species
AUUGAACGCUGGCGGCAGGCCUAACACAUGCAAGUCGAGCGGAUGAAGGGAGCUUGCUCCUGGAUUCAGCGGCGGACGGGUGAGUAAUGCCUAGGAAUCUGCCUGGUAGUGGGGGAUAACGUCCGGAAACGGGCGCUAAUACCGCAUACGUCCUGAGGGAGAAAGUGGGGGAUCUUCGGACCUCACGCUAUCAGAUGAGCCUAGGUCGGAUUGGCUAGUUGGUGGGGUAAAGGCCUACCAAGGCGACGAUCCGUAACUGGUCUGUGAGGAUGAUCAGUCACACUGGAGCUUGGACGCGGUCCAGAGUCCUACGGGAGGCAGCAGUGGGGAAUAUUGGACAAUGGGCGAAAGCCUGAUCCAGCCAGGCCGCGUGUGUGAAGAAGGUCUUCGGAUUGUAAAGCACUUUAAGUUGGGAGGAAGGGCAGUAAGUUAAUACCUUGCUGUUUUGACGUUACCGACAGAAUAAGCACCGGCUAACUUCGUG